GUCUUUUUGAUUAUAAUUUAAAGUCUGACCUGCCCAAUGAGUAAUUGAAUGGCCGCGGUAAUUUGACCGUGCAAAGGUAGCAUAAUCAUUAGUUUUUUAAUUGAAAGCUGGAAUGAAUGGUUGGACGAGAAAAUAACUGUCUCAGUUUAAUUGAAUAUAGAAUUUUAUUUAUAAGUAAAAAAGCUUAUAUGAUUUUAAAAGACGAGAAGACCCUAUAGAGUUUUAUAUUUUUACAUAUUAAUUAAGUUUAGUAUAUUUCUAUUUUAAAUUUGUAAAAAUAUUUUGCUGGGGCAGCAGAAAAAUUGAAUAAACUUUUUUUUAUUAUUGAAACAUUAAUUUAUGGUUUAAUGAUCCAUUUUUUAUGAUUAUAAGAUUAAAUUACCUUAGGGAUAACAGCGUAAUUUUUUUUUAGAGUUCUUAUCGAAAAAAGAGUUUGCGACCUCGAUGUUGGAUUAAAAUUAACUUUUGGUGUAGGGGCUAAAAGGUUAGGUCUGUUCGACCUUUAAAAUUUUACA
rnacentral:rRNA from 1 species